AUUGAACGCUGGCGGCAGGCCUAACACAUGCAAGUCGAACGGUAACAGGAAGAAGCUUGCUUCUUUGCUGACGAGUGGCGGACGGGUGAGUAAUGUCUGGGAAACUGCCUGAUGGAGGGGGAUAACUACUGGAAACGGUAGCUAAUACCGCAUAACGUCGCAAGCCCAAAGAGGGGGACCUUCGGGCCUCUUGCCGUCGGAUGUGCCCAGAUGGGAUUCGCUUGUUGGUGGGGUAACGGCCCACCAAGGGGACGGGCCCUAGCUGUUCUGAGAGGAGGACGGGCCACAUUGGAACUGAGACACGGUCCUGACUCCUACGGGAGGCAGCAGUGUGGAAUAUUGGACAAUGGGCGCAAGCCUGAUGCAGCCAUGCCGCGUGUAUGAAGAAGGCCUUCGGGUUGUAAAGUACUUUCAGCGGGGAGGAAGGGAGUAAAGUUAAUACCUUGGCUGAUUGACGUUACCCGCAGAAGAAGCACCGGCUAACUCCGUG
rnacentral:rRNA from 1 species